rnacentral:rRNA from 1 species
CCUACGGGCGGCAGCAGUGGGGAAUAUUGCACAAUGGGGGAAACCCUGAUGCAGCGACGCCGCGUGAGCGAAGAAGUCUUUCGGUAUGUAAAGCUCUAUCAGCAGGGAAGAAAAUGAUGGUACCUGAGUACGAAUCUCCGGCUAAAUACGGGCCAGCCGCCGCGGUACUACGUCGGGAGCAAGCGUUAUCCGGAUUUACCGGGCGUAAAGGGAGCGGAGGCGGCCUUGCAAGUCUGAUGUGAAAUACCGGGGCUCAACCCCGGGGCUGCAUUGGAAACUGGCAGGCUGGAGUGCAGGAGAGGCAGGCGGAAGUCCUAGUGUAGCGGUGAAAUGCGUAGAUAUUAGGAGGAACACCAGUGGCGAAGGCGGCCUGCUGGACGGUGACUGACGCUGAGGCUCGAAAGCGUGGGGAGCAAACAGGAUUAGAUACCCGUGUAGUC